rnacentral:piRNA from 1 species
ACCAAAGCUUCUCUAGAGACGCAGCC